rnacentral:rRNA from 1 species
GACGGAGGAUGCAAGCGUUAUCCGGAAUGAUUGGGCGUAAAGCGUCCGCAGGUGGCAGUUCAAGUCUGCUGUCAAAGACCGGGGCUUAACUUCGGAAAGGCAGUGGAAACUGAACAGCUAGAGUAUGGUAGGGGCAGAGGGAAUUCCUGGUGUAGCGGUGAAAUGCGUAGAGAUCAGGAAGAACAUCGGUGGCGAAGGCGACUUCCUGGCCUGUUCUUGACGCUGAGGCGCGAAAGCUAGGGGAGCAAACGGG